UUUUCCAGGCUUCACCUCUUCAUCCUUGAGAUCAUGAUUGUCUAGUAACAUCCCUGCAGCUUUUUAAGUGAUAGAAGUCCUCGUCCUUUAGGACCUUGCCACCAAGAGAUGGCAUGUGGUAGGAGCCACAGCUGCCCAACACAGGUCCUACAGCUCCCAGAUGACAUCCUUUAUAUGCCACUGCUACUGAGCAAUUCAUCACU